UACGUAGGGGGCAAGCGUUGUUCGGAUUCAUUGGGCGUAAAGGGUGCGUAGGCGGCGCGGUAAGUCGGGUGUGAAAUCUCGGAGCUUAACUCCGAAACUGCAUUCGAUACUGCCGUGCUUGAGGACUGGAGAGGAGACUGGAAUUUACGGUGUAGCGGUGAAAUGCGUAGAUAUCGUAAGGAAGACCAGUGGCGAAGGCGGGUCUCUGGACAGUUCCUGACGCUGAGGCACGAAGGUCAGGGGAGCAAACGGG
rnacentral:rRNA from 1 species